rnacentral:rRNA from 1 species
GACGAACGCUGGCGGCGUGCUUAACACAUGCAAGUCGAACGAUGAAGCCGGAGCUUGCUCUGGUGAAUUAGUGGCGAACGGGUGAGUAACACGUGAGUAACCUGACCUUGACUCUGGGAUAACUGCGGGAAACUGUAGCUAAUACCGGAUACGACCCUCGGAGGCAUCUCCUGGGGGUGGAAAGAAUUUCGGUCAAGGAUGGACUCGCGGCCUAUCAGCUAGUGGGGGAGGUAAAGGCGCACCAAGGCGACGACGGGUAGCCGGCCUGAGAGGGUGACCGGCCACACUGGGACUGGGACACGGCCCAGACUCCUACGGGAGGCAGCAGUGGGGAAUAUUGCACAAUGGGCGCAAGCCUGAUGCAGCAACGCCGCGUGAGGGAUGACGGCCUUCGGGUUGUAAACCUCUUUUAGCAGGGAAGAAGCGAAGGUGACGGUACCUGCAGAAAAAGCACCGGCUAACUACGUGCCAGCAGCCGCGGUAA